CAGUCGCCACGGUAAUACGUAGGGCGCAAGCGUUAUCCGGAAUUAUUGGGCGUAAAGAGCUCGUAGGCGGUUUGUCACGUCUGCCGUGAAAGUCCGGGGCUCAACCCCGGAUCUGCGGUGGGUACGGGCAGACUAGAGUGAUGUAGGGGAGACUGGAAUUCCUGGUGUAGCGGUGAAAUGCGCAGAUAUCAGGAGGAACACCGAUGGCGAAGGCAGGUCUCUGGGCAUUAACUGACGCUGAGGAGCGAAAGCAUGGGGAGCGAACAGGAUUAGAUACCCCUGUAGUCCCUGUCUCUUAUAC
rnacentral:rRNA from 1 species